UGCCUGGGGGACCCGUGUUGUGUCUGCAGCGCAGGCCCCAUGUGACACACACAGACGCACGGACAAGACAGACAGACAGACAGACGCACAGGAAGAUAAAGGCUAAUUUUUGUGUUUGUACAUCACAUGCUGGAUGGAUUGACUGCAAGAAGUUUCACUUUGUCAGAAAUGAAAAAUGGUAGCAGCAACAGGUGAAGCAAAGCAGGAAGGGGAAGCCAAGGGUGCCAUGUCAAGUACGUGACAGGUGGUCUGUCUGCCCUCUGAUGCUGCUGUACAACUCCUGCUGAACUCAGCGUGGGCUCUCUGACAGUUCCCUGGGUAAGAUGUCCCACUGCACUGUCCUACCUAGUGAUGCUGCUGAAUGGAAGGCCUCCAUCUGAGGACUGAUCUAGAUCAAAGUCUUCAACUCGUGGGAAGUGUAAUCCCGAAGGGGAUUCUUACAGCAAAAUCUGCAAAACCUAUUCACAACAGAGCUGGAUAGCACUAGACAAUGGACCAAGAAUAAUCUAAAAAUGCCUGUUUGUUAGUACAACAAAUUUAUCAUCCUUUGUGAAGGGUCACCGUGUGUAUUUUUCAAAGAGGGACCCUUGUGAAGAUAACUGAACUAACUAGAGCUCAGAUGUUGCCAUGAGAGUCUAUGGUAAAACAUCACUGACUUCACAGGGGAAAAACUAAUCCCAGCACAGCUACUGCUCCAGUAAGAUGCUGUAUCUCCUGUAAAAACAUUGAUCUACAAACAUGCCAUAAAAAAUAUACCUUGAAAUACU